ensembl:lncRNA
UGCCUGUCACACGAACACUUUCAAAAGGAAGGACUGAAGGCAAAGCAGUGUAUAUGCAGGAACCGGUGUGAUCUCUUUACAGAGAUGAAGAGUUUAAAAAGGCUCAGACUGUGAAUGAACUGGUCAUUAACAAGAACUUAAACAAGGAAAUAAUUUCUCUUAAUCCCCAGAAGAGGCUGCUAUUAUCACAGUAGGUGUGUGGUACCCUGAAGCCUCCAGAAAAACACAUAUCUUCAAAGCUUUGAAUGACUGCCUUGACCUCCAGUUUUUCCGGUGAUGGAAUCCAAAUUCUGUACAUUCCACUCCUUUUCCAGGAAUACUAACAAUUAAUACAAUGUGCAAAACAAAGGACAAACCUAAGGAUCAAAUGGGGGAAAAAAAAACAAACUCCCGUUUACACUAAGACAGAGCUAAACACCAAAGAGUAACUACGCUGGCUGGUCUUCCCAUUCAAUUUCACUUAAGAAUCUACUAAAUAUAUUUGCUUUGAUUUGUAUUUCAG